rnacentral:rRNA from 1 species
UACGUAGGGGGCAAGCGUUGUCCGGAUUUAUUGGGCGUAAAGAGCGUGUAGGCGGCCAGGUAGGUCUGCUGUGAAAACUCGAGGCUCAACCUCGAGACGUCGGCGGAAACCAUCUGGCUAGAGUCCGGAAGAGGAGAGUGGAAUUCCUGGUGUAGCGGUGAAAUGCGCAGAUAUCAGGAGAACACCCGUGGCGAAGGCGGCUC